UGGGGAAUAUUGCACAAUGGGGGGAAACCCUGAUGCAGCGACGCCGCGUGAGCGAAGAAGUAUUUCGGUAUGUAAAGCUCUAUCAGCAGGGAAGAUAGUGACGGUACCUGACUAAGAAGCUCCGGCUAAAUACGUGCCAGCAGCCGCGGUAAUACGUAUGGAGCAAGCGUUAUCCGGAUUUACUGGGUGUAAAGGGAGUGUAGGUGGCCAUACAAGUCAGAAGUGAAAGCCCGGGGCUCAACCCCGGGACUGCUUUUGAAACUGUAAGGCUUGAGUGCAGGAGGGGUGAGUGGAAUUCCUAGUGUAGCGGUGAAAUGCGUAGAUAUUAGGAGGAACACCAGUGGCGAAGGCGGCUCACUGGACUGUAACUGACACUGAGGCUCGAAAGCGUGGGGAGCAAACAGGAUUAGAUACCCUGGUAGU
rnacentral:rRNA from 1 species